AUUGAACGCUGGCGGCAGGCCUAACACAUGCAAGUCGAGCGGGGUUUUCGGACCUAGCGGCGGACGGGUGAGUAAUGCGUAGGAAGCUACCCGAUAGAGGGGGAUACCAGUUGGAAACGACUGUUAAUACCGCAUAAUGUCUACGGACCAAAGUGUGGGACCUUCGGGCCACAUGCUAUCGGAUGCGCCUACGUGGGAUUAGCUAGUUGGUGAGGUAAUGGCGCACCAAGGCGACGAUCCCUAGCUGGUUUGAGAGGAUGAUCAGCCACACUGGAACUGAAACACGGUCCAGACUCGUACGGGAGGCAGCAGUGGGGAAUAUUGGACAAUGGGCGCAAGCCUGAUCCAGCCAUGCCGCGUGUGUGAAGAAGGCCUUCGGGUUGUAAAGCACUUUCAGUAGGGAGGAAGCGUUGUGUGUUAAUAGUACACAGCGUUGACGUUACCUACAGAAGAAGCACCGGCUAACUCUGUGCCAGCAGCCGCAGUAACAC
rnacentral:rRNA from 1 species